ensembl:lncRNA
CACGAGCUAUCGAACGGGCCGGUGCGUUAGCGUCCAGACGCACAGACACAGCAGUGGGCUGAGGUCAUCGGCCUUUAGGAGGUUCUGGAAGGAGAAAGAAUGAGGCGGCUCUCACUGAGCAGAAUCACCGGCUUGGGAAAAACAUGGAUACAGAAGAAUCCAAGAAUGCUUCCAAGUGCCAAUCAAAGGGUUUUUCAGACAAGAGACAGGGGAACCAGUGGGUGUCAGCCAGAACCAAAGCAAUAAAGAUGAAGAAGAAGAGAGAGGACUUGAAGAGUUGACUAAUCAUGCCCCACUAAUAAGAGUUAACAGUAUUAUGGUGGAAUAUUAUUAUUAUUCUAAAUUUAUUAUGGUAUUGUUUUUGGAUGGAAUUUCAAGUAUAAGGCAAUUAGAU